GCUGCCGCUGCUGCCGCCGCCGGAGCUGCUGCUGCUGCUGCUGCUGCUGCUGCUGCUGCUGUUGCUGCUGCCGCCGCCGCCUCACACACAUAGGGAAAGAGUCAACUCGCCGGCGGCGGGGGAGAGAUGAUAAGAGAGAAAGGAGGGCAGAUCAGCACCUAGAAGCGCAUCCUUCGUGCGCAGAGGGGGGAGAAACGGAGAGAAAGAAUGAAAGAGGGAAGAGCAGCGCGGCAGCCGGAGAAAGGAGGCAACUCCGGCAGAGGAGGAGGAGAAGAAAACACACACGCGCGCACGCACGCACACACCGCGGAGAGAAAAGAGCAGAAUCAAAGUGAUCAAAUAUGCUAAAAAGGGGGGCGCGGGAGGGAAUGCGAUUUAUAGGCGCCGGGGCUGGCAGAAGUGGCUUCUCCGCGAUCAGCUCACUGAGCUCUCUAUAUAGUGAACUUUGACACGACUGCUGCAACUUAGCGCACGUUACCAUGGCGACGGCGCGCCUUAUAAGGCAGCCGCCGGGGUUGGCCUGGCCCGGCGCGCGCGCGCCGCCCCCUCGCCGUCAUUGGCCGGAGCGCGGCGGCCCCGCCAUGGCGGCAGCGGGAGCAGCUCGGUCCUAGUGCGAGCAUCGUCGCGACUGCCGUGCGGGCCGCUCGGGGACUGAGGGGGGCGGGGACGGGUGGCCGCGCCGCCCGGGCCACCGAGCGGGGGAUGGGCCCGGGCGGACCCGGGAGCGCGGAUCCCGCUCGCCCCGCACCCGGCACCCGAGGUGACCGCCCCAGUGGCGAGGCGAGAGCGCUGUGCACACACUACGCCUCUUAAAGGCUCCGCGAGAGGUAGAGGAUGGAGCCUAAGACUUAGUCCCUUGCAACUUGGCGUUGCCACUAAAUAGGCGGCUAGCGCUCCACCCGGGACUCCCGACGGCGCAUUAUGUAGAGCCCACGAUGCCAAAGACGGAUAGUGCUUCCCUCUUCUUUGUAGAGGGGUACGCCGCGGAGGUGGCAAGGUACCGGGAUCUGAGCUUGCAAAAGGAAGAUUUGGGCUAGAUCCGUGAGGUGGCAAAUCCUUUGCUUAAUGAACUCUCAUCAUUUGCUCUAUUUGGUGGCUCCUUUUUUUUGUUUGUUUUAUAGGAAAAGAAGCCGUUCAAUAUCUGCCUUUUUCUUUGGAGGGUUAAUAUUUUAUAGAUUUGCGGCCUGACAUUUUAAUUGCUCAAAUGAAGCAUCUCGGAUGCUGAGAAGCACAAGUAGACUUCUCAUGGUCAUGACGCAAUUAAAAUAAAUUCCCCUCAACUUUAUCCUCUCUCAUUGGUUUUAGCUAACCAGCCAGCCAGUGACCUGUCACACACCCGGUCAUGAAAAGAGGGAGAAAGACCUUUCUGUCCUCUGAUGGACAGGCGGAGGCAGCCGCUUAGCCUCGCCUGUGCACAGUUUCUGUACACACAUGUAAACGCACAUGUAUCAGAUGCACAUUUGUCAAUGUAUACAGACAAAGACAUCCAAGAUGAUGCUUCGAGGUCAUAGAACAGUUGAAUACGUACUUCAUUGUUCAAAUUCUCUUUAAACACCCAUAUAGUCAUUAAAACACAUCCAGAGAGCCUGCUCCAAUUUGGAAAUAACACCAGCAUAACUCACAAGAACUACAGACAAGCCAUAGUCUUCAUCCCACAGUCUAUGUCAUUCUGCCCAGGAUGCUCAUUCGUGUGUCUUUGAAUGUGUGCCUGAGUUUUAAACAUCAAAUAUAUAGAACCACCCCCAGGACAAAUUAUAUUCCACCGACUAAACUUGCUGUUUGAUUAGGACCAGUUAGUUGAUUGUGAGGACUCCACACUUGUAUGGGAAAUUUGUGUUUAAAAGGGAAUACUUUGCACCAAGCCAAAACUAAAACCAUAAGUCGAACAAUUUUACCAACAAUGAAAUUGUUUUUACACAAAAGAUGCUGAGCUACUGGGGGUGGGGGGUGAGGAGGACCCUACAAAGAGCAAAUUGACAACUUCUGAAAAGCAUCUUUGACAGCAUAAAAAUUUGGCAAUAUAAAGUUGCUUUAACAAAAUAACCCAGACGUGUAAUUGACGUGGGUAGACUGCACUUUAGGGCAGUUUCUUUCACACAUACAGGCGGAGUAUGAGGUGAGGAGCCCAUGAAGAUGCGGGCAGACAGAAGCUGGGUUUUCCCCGCAAGGAAAAAUGAAUCCUGUUCUUCUUCAAAGUUCUCCUUAACCUUCUCUUUCUCUACUGAAACCAUACAUUGCACUGACAUGUCAGGUGCUGUGGUUAUUUGAAUGUUUUAAGAAACAACAAGCUAUAGCAGGUACCAGACUAUCAUAAACCUGGUGUGUUAAAUAAGGUGGCUACAGAGUACAGCUAGGCGAAGCAUUGCUGGCUGAUUAGAGAUACCACAUAACUUUCUCCUACAGAGAACAACAAAGGAAGAUGGAAAAGAAAUAAUUUCAGAGAAAUAUGGGUUUUUUUCUUCUUUUAAUUUCUCUGACUUGAGGAAUUAUUUGAUACUGCAAUUGUCAGAUUAUAGAGGGAAGCUCAGCAUAUAGUGAGACUGAGGUUGACACAGGAAAUCUAAUAGGUAUUCCCAUGACUUUAUAGAUGAGCAUAAUUGAUUAUAGAGAAAUGUUAAUUUUGCCUCUCCAAGUGCAGCCAUUUUCAUGGCAAGAUUACUUUUUGCUCACACACCGAGAUGGUUUUUGAGGAGGAGAGGCCACACACACACACACACACACACACACACACACACACACACACACACACACGGAAUUUGAAGGCUGUAAUUUCUUUAGGUAGAAAAAUGAAGAAUUUCCCACUUACAGAACUGCAGCCAGCUAGACACAUGGCCAUACAACUACCACCAAGUCAGGGCUGCUUCACUUUGAAUUUGAGGGCUCAUUUAGCUAUAGAAAUGCUGUUUAGAAGGGGAUAAAAAUCGCUAUAUGAAUUGUAGUUAAUUUUACUGAGUGGAUGGAGAGACAGUACAGCCAGACAGAGGGGUUAAAAAAAAGCAAAAAUAUUUUUAAAUGUCCGUCUCAAAGAUGCUCAGUAAGAUUUAAAAGUCCUGAUUAAAACAUACAUAUCUAUAUGCUAUUUCAAAAAACUCAACCAAGCCUUUUACUACAAAUGUAAAUUUAUUUUAAUGAGAAUUGUGGCAAGCUUUAUUUGACUGCUCAAAGUUAGGGAAAAACAUUUGUCUUAAUCUAGAAAAAAAAAAAACUCCCAGGAAUAUGGUUCCUUGCAGAAAGUGGUUGGCUGGUCUGUAAUUCUUUACAGAUUAAAUCACAAUAUGAAUACAGACCCCAGCAAUGCCGAGUUUAACUCUGAGCUCAGUAGAAUCCAGGAUCCAUUGAAUUUCUCCUUUCCCUCAAUCUAGUCGUGUGUGUUUUUCUCUUCCACCACACUGGAGCUCCGUGAAUAGGGAAGGGGCUUCCAUUGUGUCCCUCUGAACUUCCAAGUCAAUGCAAUUUUUAACCACUGGCUUGUGGUACUUUGAAAAUCACCAGGGGCUGUCAGAGUUGGGUCCUCUGAAAAAUUUACAGUGCUAAAUCAGAGCAUAUGCUGGGAGGGAAAAAAAUUGCUUAAGAUUGGAGCAAGUACAGUAUCUGUCUGCCCCCUAGUGUAAGAGUCCUCGCUGCCUAAAAUCCAACUUUAAAAGAAAAGGAGCCCUUAAAGGGAAACGACUUGGGGCUCACGUAGGCAUAGGCAUAGGAGAAUGAAACUUCUGUAUAUUUUAAUCUGACUAAUUCUUAUGGAUUUAAAAUUAUUUGGCUGUGACUUGGUUGGACUGCACUGGGAUCUCGCUGCCUCUACGUUUCUCGAGUCACUGGUGAAGAGCACAGAAUUGCUUCAAAAGUCAGCCCUGCGCGGUUGCAAUAGACAGCAAAAAGGUAAACCGUUUGCCUGAAAUCCGCACGCCAGCUCCACCACCCCGCCCGAUGCAAAACUUGGAAGUAUGCUUCUCCUCCAUCUAUAGAUAGAAGAGGCGGAUUUUCCUCCAAGCUCACUCCUGCUCACCGUUUCAUGGCACAAGUCCUUUUUGUCGAAUGGUAGGGGAGUCUACAUGGAGUUCCCCUGCGGUGAAGACAUGAGUUUUCAUCACUCAAGCAGAGUCUGACUGCCUUGUGGCACACACCGUCAAUCCCAGCAUUCAGGAGGCAGAAGCAGGCUGAUCUGUCACUUCACAGCUUGUCUCAGCUACCGAGCAAGUUCCAGGCUAACCGUUACUACACAGUGUGACUGUCUCAAAUAAUGUGGUUCUAUAACGGAAUCAAGAAAGUGUGGACACCUACCUGUGGGUCGAGGCUUGGGGGAAUGUUGCUUCAGGUUCCUGCCAAAGCCAGACUUCUGGAGAUAGACAGCUGCUCAAGGAAAUGAAGGGAGAGUUUGUGAAUUGCAACUUCUAAGCAGGUCCUGGAGAAGAUUUGCCUAAGAAACUUACUUCUAAAGAAGCCAGCGAUCACAUAAGAAUGAUCUGCAGGAUGAAUCAAGUCUAAAGACUUCAAUGCUCUACAAUGUCCAGCACCCAGAGCAGGUGCCAUACACGUUGGUCCUCUGCCACAUCUCCUCACCAUGAUGCUCUCUGUCACUGAAAGACCAAAGCCACAAGAUCACAUCCCGAUGGAUAGAUGCCACUGACGCUGACUGGUCCUGCUUGCUCCGUCUUCACACUGAUGGUCAACAGUAGACUCAACUGACUUUCCAUGGGGACGAUUGAACAUCUCUCAGGAAGCCAGCAGGCUGCCCUUCCCUGCUCUGACUUCAUUCUGCCAGAAUUGAUAAGGGGCUGUCGGCAGGUGCCGCACAGGCUUGUGGGAGUUAGCACGCCAGAACACGCUUUGGAGGCAGUACAGAUGGAACAGACUCCCCUCCCCAUGGAAGAUGGAGGAAAAUUGAUGGUCCAGCUUCUGCUUCUGAUGCAGCUGCUAUCUACAGACCUCCUGGACUGCCCAAGGAAGGGAGUGGGAGCUCGCGCUCCAGAUGGGUGGAACAGCAACAAGAUGGACUGAAAGAGGCCAAAAAUAACAGUGCCUUCCAGAUGAGGUGACCUCAGAGCCAAGAGCAUCAUGGGGUAGAGUAUCUUGUUCCUAGUUUUAUGACCUAAAAAGUACACAGAAGAUUCAAAGACACUACAGAGAGAAGGAAUAAAGUCUGCAGAGAACAAGGAAAUGUGAUCAGCUACAAUUUUUUCAGUUGAAUUUCACUGUGCACACACUUACACAAGAAAACACAAGUCUUUUAUAUAUGUAUGAAGAGAGACCUAGAUCUCUAGUUGGAUAGAUAGACAGACAGAUAGAUAUAACGAAAUACAGUAGGAGACCAAAAUGAAGAAAAAGUUAAAGACAACAUUGCCUUCCUUUGCUUGCUAUUGAAAUAAGUUUAAUAAAUCUUCACUGAGAACCAA